rnacentral:rRNA from 1 species
UACGAAGGGUGCAAGCGUUACUCGGAAUUACUGGGCGUAAAGCGUGCGUAGGUGGUUUGUUAAGUCUGAUGUGAAAGCCCUGGGCUCAACCUGGGAAUUGCAUUGGAUACUGGCAGGCUAGAGUGCGGGAGAGGAGAGUGGAAUUCCUGGUGUAGCGGUGAAAUGCGCAGAUAUCAGGAAGAACACCCGUGGCGAAGGCGGCUCUCUGGAACGCAACUGACGCUGAGACGCGAAAGCGUGGGGAGCAAACAGG